GUGCCAGCAGCCGCGGUAAUACAGAGGGUGCAAGCGUUAAUCGGAAUUACUGGGCGUAAAGCGUGCGUAGGCGGACUUUUAAGUCAGAUGUGAAAUCCCUGGGCUUAACCUAGGAAUUGCAUCUGAUACUGUAAGUCUAGAGUAUGGCAGAGGAUAGUGGAAUUUCUGGUGUAGCGGUGAAAUGCGUAGAGAUCAGAAGGAACACCAGUGGCGAAGGCGACUGUCUGGGCUGAUACUGACGCUGAGGUACGAAAGCGUGGGUAGCGAACAGGAUUAGAUACCCUGGUAGUCCACGCUGUAAACUAUGAGGACUAGCUGUUGGUCAUUAUAUAAUGAUAAGUAGCGAAGCAAACGCGAUAAGUUCUCCGCCUGGGGAGUACGGCCGCAAGGCUAAA
rnacentral:rRNA from 1 species